AGCAGGAGCAAGCCAAGCUGUGAUCCCCUCUGUGUCUGCAUCGAGCCCGUAGGGUGACCUCAACCGUGAGGAAUGGAGAAGGACUGAGUGAAAAGGCACUCUACCUUGGGGUGUGACACACCAUCUAAAGGACAGGAUUCUUCUUGUCUGCGUGAUUAAAUGCCCUGCUGUGACCGCCAUGGAGAGAGAUCUGUGUCCAUGCACCAUGCACUGUUCAUAAGUUCGGGAGUGCUGCUCACUGCAAACCUCAUCUUGGCACAGCCUGGGGAACAAAGGGCUGAGCAAGAGUCCUGGGGGGAAGGACUGAGGAUAUCACCUAGUUUAUAAGGAAGCAAGUUGCUGGAGUGCUCAGAGCAUGCCCUGGGUGGGCAAUGCAAGCGUGCCAGAGAUAUCACACCUAGCAGAGGCUGCCGAGACCCUGCCACGAGCCAGCAGUGCUCCAGGGCAUCACGCAGAGGAACUGGGCUCUCCUGAGCAGACAAGGCUCU
ensembl:lncRNA